AUGUUUCAGUGAUAUAUUGGGGGGGACAAAUCAUAUUUUUCCCAGGAUGGGGGGUCGUGUCCCCCCCGGGAUUUCCGCCCCUGCCUUAACAUUUAAAUUCCUCUAUCAGUAGGCUAGUUGAGAACAAGUUCUCAUUUACAACUGCGACCUGGCUAAGAUAAAGCAAAGCAGUGCGACACAAACAACACAGAGUUACACAUGGAAUAAACAAGCGUACAGUCAAUAACACAAUAGAAAAAAAGAAAGUCUAUAUACAGUGGGUGCAAAUGGCGUGAGGAGGUAAGGCAAUAAAUAGGCCAUAGUAGCGAAGUAAUUACAAUAUGAUGAUGUGGCUCAGUUGUUCACCGACAUUCACAAAUGACAUUAUGCUGUAGAGACCUUUGAUAAUUCACUGUUAAGGGUUCAUAAACAUUUUUCUAUGACUUAAUUUAAUUUUCAUGACUUAUAGCUUACAUGGAAAAAGUAACCAUUAUUGACACUGGAAGGCUGCUGUGCCUGAUCCCAUGUACGGUGCAUUCGGAAAGUAUUCAGACCCCUUGACUUUUUCCACAUUUUGUUAUGUUACAGCCUCAUUCUAAAAAUAAUUAAAUUGAGGGAAAAAAAAUCUACACACAAUACCCCAUAAUGACAAAGCAAAAACAAGUUCCAUUUUUUUUUGCAAAUGUAGUAAAAUUACAAAACUUAAAUCACAUUUACAUAAGUAUUCCAACCCUUUACUCAGUACUUUGUUGAAGCACCUUUGGCAGCGAUUACAGCCUCGAGUCUUCUUGGGUAUGACGCUACAAGCUUGGCACACCUGUAUUUGGGGAGUUUCUCCCAUUCUUCUCUGCAGAUCCUCUCAAGCUCUGUCAGGCUGGAUGGGGAGCGUUGCUGCACAGCUAUUUUCAGUUCUCUCCAGAGAUGUUCAAAUGGGUUCAAGUCCAGACUCUGGCUGGGCAACUCAGGACAUUCAGAAACUUGUCAUGAAUCCUCUCCUUCGUUGUCUUGCCUGUGUGCUUAGGGUUGAUGUCCUGUUGGAAGGUGAACCUUGUGGUGGAAAAUUCUAAUCAAGUGGGAGAGAGUUUGUUUGAAGAAAUGGCAAUCAUUCUUUGAACAACGUAGCAACGCUCCACUUCUGCUCAACUUCCUAUCCGAUCUUGUCCUGUCAACCUGAUUGUAGCCAUACUAGCCUCGAAGUCGCUCGUUUUAUCAUUACCUCAGUAUAUUAAUACAAUCAUAUUUCUAUAGCGUUUUUUUUUAAUAAUUCUUGUUGAAAAUUCUGUAUAUCCGUUCAGUUGGUGAUUUUUGUAAUUCGAUUGUGUUCUGUCUUUUUUUGUCUCUUUAGCCAGUAAACGUUAGCUACCAGUACCUAGCUAACGUUAGUGCUAAUGACGUUAACGUUAUUAGUUGGUGCGGCAUCUUUAUUGAAAGUUAGGAAAUUAAGAAGUUUUCAUUGAACCUUCUAGUGGUUGUUGACAUCUGAAGAAGGGAGCAGUACCUUUGCUAUUCCAGUGGAAUAUUACCAUGUCCAAGAGAUCCUUAUGUCACUGAUGGGAAGCAUCAAAUGCAUCUGGGCUGUAGCUUGCCUUCUCACAAAACAACCGGUGUGGGCCUCUUGUGAAGGCAUGGGCCAAGAAGCAAUGAGCUACUACUGCAAUGCAUCUUUCCUUUUUUUACUGUGACCAUCCACAUUGUCUAACACCCCGUAGUCCAUUUAUUGAUAAUAAACACCUCUGCUUAUACUCCAAACAAAAUGCUACAAAGAGUUUUUAAUUACAGUGACGAGAACAGAAAAAUGUAACUGAAUUAUUUUAAAUGAUUCAUUAAUUAAUUGCAGACAGAUUUGUUGGUUUGUUUCUCUUUCAUUAAUUGAAAGAUAAAGGAGCAUGCCCCUUUAUAUUUAGUCUUUCCUGCCUAAGAACUUUUGCAUGUACACAUAAGUAGUACCAGUCACCCUUCUCUCUAAUUAGUGAGAACACCACUGGGACUCUAUGCAUUCUCUCACCUGAAGAGACUAUGUGAAGCUGGUGUUCUUCACUGAGCAUAAAUGUGCAGCCUUGAAAGUUGCUCUCCGGGCAGUGAAGGGAAUGGUGGUGUCUCCUUAUGGUGAACUAUGUGUCACGUUGUGAUUGGAGGCUGCUGGUAAGACAGAAGGCUCCCCACCUGUACCUUUCCAAAGUGGGAGUCGACUAAAAGCUUUUCAGCAGACAUCCCCAUGCUGCAGAUCAAUGGCUUGGAUAGAGGGUCAAAGCUUUUGUAUGCCUCUUCUAUCUGGAGAACUGAGAGGUCAGGGAGCGUUCCAAGAAGGGCACUGUAGAGUGUACUUCUGCAAAGCAGCCGCUGUGGUUUCCCAAUCUAAACAAUGUACUUGAAACCACCUGAAAUUAAAAACAUUCAUAUAGUCAAAGUGUAAUAGCAGCUACUACCUACUAUACUGGCUAUUAGGGAAUACUCACCUAAUCCCUCCUUCUGCCAUGCGAUUUUUGGUGGGCUCGGUGAUGGUCAUUUUGUCUAUGGGCCCAGGUUGCAGACCCUGUAAAAAGACAGUACAAGGGCACUAUUCUAAAUCUAAUCAUGAGACGAUUUAAGUUUUCAUUAAAUCAUUUAUUAGCAUUAUGAUGUGAUUAUAACCAUAUGAUGUUGAAGGGAACGGCACCUCCAUACCUUCAGGCUCUGAUCAGGCCCUACACCCAAACAAGGGCACUGCGUUCAUCCACCACUGGCCUGCUGGCCCCCCUACCUCUGAGGAAGCACAGUUCCCGCUCAGCCCAGUCAAAACUGUUCGCUGCUCUGGCACCCCAAUGGUGGAACAAGCUCCCUCACGACGCCAGGACAGCGGAGUCAAUCACCACCUUCCGGAGACACCUGAAACCCCACCUCUUUAAGGAAUACCUAGGAUAGGAUAAAGUAAUCCUUCUAACCCCCCCUUAAAAGAUUUAGAUGCACUAUUGUAAAGUGGUUGUUCCACUGGAUAUCAUAAGGUGAAUGCACCAUUUUGUAAGUCGCUCUGGAUAAGAGCGUCUGCUAAAUGACUUAAAUGUAAAUGUAAAUGUUGAUAUGUGGUACAGCUAUUAAAACAUACCAUAGUCCUUGGCUUAUACCACUGCUGCUCGGCCUCUGUGCAGCUGUGCACAGGUGGGACGACUAGUGUUCCCAUUUGGGAAUAGUGUGCAGACUGGAAUAGUAAUGCAACUGUGUGGUUGCAUAAUGCAGUGCCAGCAACACAUGAACAGUGAUGUUGUGUCAUUGUUACUGGCUCAGAGGGCUUCAGUACAACAUAUGUGGGGAUAUAAAAAGAAAAUGAUUAGACUAUAAAAUCCCUCAACAUGAGUCACGACCAGCAAACAGAAGUGACUGGCGCAACAUGCAACAGCCACUAAAUUAAUUACAGCAAUACAGGUUUAAACUUUUCUAUUAAGGGUAUAUGCCCUUGUUUAAAUUUGAUCUUAUGCGUCCAACAUAACAGAGCUUACAUCAACAGCAAGGAAGAUAUUGGAAACUUUCCAGUCCAUGUGUGACAUCUUAGAGUAGUAAGCAGAAUAAGUGCACUCUAUAUGUGUGUCUAGGUCAUUAGGCACCAUUAGACAUGCACCUGUCUUGGGAGUCUGCAUGUCUGUUUAUUUUUGUACUAUUGUUAUGGCCUAAUAUUUACUGUUGCUAUGGUUACACCAGCAAUGGAAUCUAUGCCCUAAUGUGAAGUCAAGCUAAAAUUAGUGCAAGGCAAAAAGAUAAUGGUGGCUACAUGCCAGAGUGGAUGAAUCAUUAACAUAAAGAGGAGUUACUAUGUGUGUGACGUAAGGAUGAAAACUGUAUAACAAGUGUGUGCCAAGGCUGGGAAGGCAGUUUCUUCAUGAACCAGCUCGGCUUUUAUUACUUUGUAAUAAAGUCUAUUUUAACUCACAGGCUCCGAUAUUUGAGAAAUAUUAUUGACUGAAUAUUUCAACGACAAAGACAACUGAACAAUUACUACACUAAGAACGGUUUCAUAGACAUGGGUUAAGCCUAGUCCUAGACAAAGCAAUGCCUCUUAAUGCAGAUCUCCAUUGACAGAAACUUCUUAGUCUAAGACUAGGCUUCAUCUCUGACUGUGUAACCGGCAUAUAGUGUGUCACAAACAGCUGACUUUUCACACUAUACUCAAACUGUGUGGUUUCUCAUUUUUCCUCAUGGACCUGUAGCAGCAAGCCCUUACGCUGACCUCUCGUCACUUUGUCCCUGUUCGAAACGGUUUGGAAUAAAAAUAAUGAGCAAUCAUAAUGUUAGCUAUCUACUGUAAAAGGCAUGUCUUAAACUACGUUACAGCUUUCAGUAAACGUCCUUGUCUGGUCUGAUAGGCAACUUGGCUAUACUUAAGUUACCUUCAUAGUUGAAAAGGUAACUGAAUACAAAGUUUGAAUCCUUUUUCCAACUUGGAGGUCGGUGCUUUGCUACUUGUCUUGGCCAGACGAUGUACAUCCGUCACUGUUAUCUUUGGCAGCUCUUGCAAGCGCCUUGACACAAUAAUCGAAUUACAAAAAUCACUAACUGAACGGAUAAGCAGAAUUUUCAACAAGAAUGAUUAAAAAACACUAUAGAAAUAUGAUUAUAUUAAUAUACUGAGAUAAAGAUAAAACGAGGCUAGUAUGGCUACAAACAGGCUGACAGGACGCGAUCGGGAGAGGAAGCUAUAUAUCGGGUGGUAGGAAGUUGAGCGGAAGUGGGCGUUGCUACAUUGUGCAAAAGGUCUGAAUACUAAACGGUGUGGAUCAUUUAGAUAAAGAGGAGUGACUAUGUAUGUUAUGCCAGACUGAAGCUGUAUAUACAGAGGUCUCUGAGUCUGGGACUGGCAGUUGCUCCAUGGACCAUCUCGGCUUGUUACUUUGUAAUUAAGUCUGUAAUGAACUCACAAGCUCCGGUAUCUGAGAUAUUAUUGAACCAAUAUUUAUUCGACACAACGCGUCCAUGCACUAUGAUGUAUACAGAAAUGGUUUAAUUCUGAAAUACUACAAGGCAGUAGGCGACACUGAUGAGACAAGGAGAAUGCAGACCUAUACCUGGACCCAAAGUGGACUGGAUCGAUCCGUCGCUGGACAAUCAUCAAGUCCCCAAGUUACCAGUGGUCAGAUGAGUGAGAUUCCUUGCAGCUAUUCUCGUCAAUAUGGGCCAGUCAGACCAGCUGUCCUGUAUAUAGAAGGUGGUCGAUGCCUACCACACAGCGGACAAGUAACCAGUGGAGGUUACUGGAGUGGACCGAACCUGAAUCAACAGGCUUCAAUGGUGUACAUAAACUCAUCUCAGCAUUCACCCACCAAAGAGCAAGUUCUAACGGGUACUAGUCCCCUUUUGACAUCACUCUGGACUAACAAUGCAGCGGCUGCUCAAUCAACUGGUGUUACAUCACAAAGUGGAAACCGUCACACCUUGCCCGGAAGGGUUAACAGUGCAGCUCAGCCCACUUUUCAGCAGGGACAGAGGUUUUUGGGUGUUAAAAAAAACAAUCCACAGAGGCUCGUAAAGGAUGGUCAGGGUCCAACCAUUCACUGCCCCCCUCAUAUUAAUGCACCACUGAAUACAAAUGUUAUGUAUCAUCUAAGCCCAGUGAGUGGCAGUCAGCAGCUUGUACUUGGCAGACAAGAGGGGGCCUCCAGUGGUACCUCUGCUUCUCUUGCAAUGGGUAGGAGCCCCAACCAUGUAAAUCAUAAAUUGACUGUAGUGAGUGGGCAGGAUUCAAGAAGGAUAGCAGUUCAAGCUCCUCAUCAGGGAAACCCACAAACACCAAACUCUUUGCAAAGUGGACAGGAGACAACAUAUAACCAACUGUUGUAUUUACUUCAAAAUCAGAACAAUGACAGCAGGGCUGAGAUGAACAGGGUGCACCAACAUGGAGCACCUGUCCACACUGGCUCAUCAAACCACAGUCAAAUGUAUCCCUCUCAACUUCUCACUGGCAGCAACAACCAGGUCAAUGUAUCAAAUGCUACAGUGGGGCAGUCAAUGCCAAUGCAUAACAUUAGCCAGAAUCCUCAGUACAAUGUUAUGUAUAACCCUCCUUUUAAUAAUUCUCCAAGACAUGUCCCCAUCUGCCCUAAAAGCUUUCCCAUCCCACCACAACAGAACAGACUCCCAUCUUAUUGUGCAAAUAAUAACAGUCAGGCAGGGCCCAUUGGAAAUAAUGCACACUAUGCCUCUCAUCCUAGGCUCCAUAUCCAAGGCACAUGCCCUACCCUACAUUACAAGCCAGACUGCACCAAUGUUCUGGUAGGCAACGCUGGACCAUCUUCAUCUGUGCCAAACUAUAGUAUACAGCCCUCAGUCCAGCACAACCGUGAGACCGCGCCUCCACCAUACCCAGUCCAGCACAAGCGUAAGUCCGCGCCUCCACCAUACCCAGGCCAGCACUCCCAUGGACCCGUGCUGAACAAGACGGAACAUGUGGUUGGGGCAGGAGCGCAUUUUCUGCAACACGUGCCUAACCAAGGUGCAGCCCCUACCCUACAUUACAAGCCAAAAAACACCUAUGUUCAGUUAUCCAACACUGGACCAUCUUCAUCUGUGCCAAACCAUGGUAUGCUGUCUUCAGGCCAGCAAAACUGUGAGUCUGUGACUCCGUCACACCCCAUAAGACAGGGCUAUUACAUAACAGUAACAGAGGACAAAAGUGGAAAUGGAUUUAGAACAGAAAAUUUUAUUUUCAUAGGAGAUAAACCUAAUGAAAGUGCUCUGGUCCUGCAAGGAUCAUCUGCAAGUAAUGCCCCCUCUGUUCUUACGACACAGAAGGCCGUUGCAGUUGUACAACCACUAUCGCAGUGUAUGCAGACAAACACACCUCUAAAUGUGGCUGAUAAAAUCUCCUUGACUACCCAAGGUAUGUCUUUCUUAACAGGUGUCAAAAAUGUGAGCAACCCUGGGGAAGAAUCUUGUGACCAAAGUCCAUCACAAGCCCAAACAACCCUUAUUCUAUCUGCUUCUUUGACAAAUGAAUCUGAACAAGAGGUCCCCAAGAUCAGACUAGAAUCAGGGGCUGAUAAAACAUUGACCAAGGGUUCAGAAACUUCUGAUGUUGAAAUGGCCAAGAUAUAUUCAUGUUUUAAGCCUCAACGGUCAUUAUCAAACGGGUUAUGUGCAGAGAAAUUUGAUUCUCAACCAUUACCUAAUGUGGAAUGUCAAGCCACUCAGAGAAAAGAGUUAGCUGACACAGAAAUGACCACUCAUGUGCAUGUUAACCAAUUGAGUGAGGAAACGAAUGAAAAAGUCGAUUCCGAUGAGGACAUUUUUGAAUUGUCCUCCAUUCCUGUAAUCAAAUGGACCCUUGGUAAAUUGAAGGAGUUGGUAGAUACUGUGCAAAGUCAAAAAUGCACUGCCACACCAGUUGAAAGCAAAAUACUAAGCCUCUAUUGGGACGGAGAUGGGCCAAAGCUUAUGGAUGCUGCAAGAUCUGGUAUGUUACAAAAUAUAAUGGAAGAGGUUAGAUCUGUGUGUGGCGACGAUGACGAUAUGUCAUCACAGUCUGUCAUAUUUUCACAAGCCAGGCGCAAAAACUGGGGUCAAGUUGAAGAGAAAUGUGCCAUUCUUAAACAUGAUUCUGUUCACCCCGAGUUCCCAGCGCAAGAGUCAUCGUGGUUGAACACAAAUAAGCAGCUUGAUGACAUAGACAAGGAGUUUGGAUUCCCAUGGUCACUAAGAUAUGACCAAAAGACUCUUCAUAGAGGAGAUGAACAAACAAAACUGAUUUGUACCGAAAAUGAAAAAUCUGCGGACUCUGCCAAUGACAUGCAGACUGAGGUGGCUCAGACGAAGAGACCAACACCCUCUGAUUCUGAUGCUAAAGAAAUUCAAGGGUCAGGUUUGGUACACGGUUCCACCCAGACCCUCUCACUGGUUAAGAGAGAGGCAGGUAUCAUUUUUAGUGACCCAUUUUCCUCCCUGGAGAUCAACGUGCUGACACCAGAAGAAGCUUUGAUGUUUUUCAGUGGGCAGCUACCACAAGAUAAAGUGAAUGAAGAAGACCUGUUGGAAUUGCCAAUGGAAAUGGACGCGGAGCUGAUUGAGUUGAAAGAUUACUCAGUGGAGGAUAAGUCAUCUGAGAGGGUAGAUGUGAAGUUGACUGAUUUAAAACUCGAAAACAAAGGGGAUGCCCAAUCAGAAGAUUACUGUUGCCUCUCUCGUUGGAUGGCAGUGUUCAGUGGGUCCACCAAUUCUUCGUCCUGCAAAUGCCAAUACGAGACUAAAUUGGGUUCAGCAAAGGCCACUGUGAAUGCGACGCCGUUGGUUGAGGUAACAUUGUCUGUUGAACCCAACACAACAAAAGCAGAACAAAGGGAAUGCCUGCAAUUGUCUAAAUCAAAUGGCACAGCAGAAGAAAAGAGGGAAGAGAAUCCUGUAAAAAAUUUGAAUCCUCAAUCUUGGAAAUCUACAGGCAUUCAAGAAUGCCAAACAAUUGUUUUGUCUGAUAGCAAAUCUGAGACUGCUCGCAUAUACACAAAUUGGGUGAAGAGCUUGCCUUUGUCAAAAGCCCCAGCACUGCAACUCCCCAUCAACCACACAAACAUUGUUGAAAUUGAAGAGGUCUUCUCCCGUUAUGAAGACUUUAUUAAAGUAGACACCCCAAUAUCGGAGAUAGUUUGGGACGAUGUACAGCCAAAGCAGAAACUACCAGGUCUGUUCCAGAAACGUAUAGAAUGUGUACAAGAACUUGGUGUCAUUUUGGAAGAAGGAAACCCUAGAGGUAGUGAAGUCGUUCCUACAGUUCCCAUUCCUACUUCUAAUCUGCAACCCCAACCAACAGACAAAAUCGGUUUCCUUACAUCACUUUCCUUGGCACAAAGAUGUCACAAACAUCUCUCUCCUAAAACAAAUUGUAGCUACAAGGUUAAACAAAAAGGGGUUGGACUCAAGAGAAGAUGUGUUGAAAGUCCGCAUUCAAAUUUGCCUGUCCCAAGAAAGCAAAGGAAAAUGAGGGAUGGAUUAGGUCCCUCCUUUCAACUCGUUCCUGAGGUCAACUUGACUGAUGAUGAUGUUUUUGAGCCCCCCAAUACAACUACUUCUAAAUCUUUGGAAGAAGAGAAACAUUCAAAAGGUAGCAAUCUCCAGAAGCCAACAGAACAUGGAAUUGGGAACAACAUUUGGAGGGUUGGCACAGUAAGUCUAGCCUUGUUUGGUUCCGCGCUCCAGAGGAAAAAUGGGGCUUUAACAACUGACCAACGCAAGGACCAUAAUACUUCUCGAGCAAGACCUUUUGCAGACAAUGCUCCAGCACCUCCUAUAACCCUCAGUGUGAAUGUCAACUCCUGGACCAGUCCUCCAGCGGAAAGCCCAAUCAAACAAUGGAUCUUAAACGAGUGGAAUAAUAGUUUUAUCCCGACAAAGACAAAGUCCAGGGGCAAAGUGUCAAAACUACAAAACAGAAGAGGCUUUGCUCCAAAGAUUAUUUGUGCUGAAAUGGCCAAAAAGACUGUUGCCCUCACCAACACAGAUAGAGGUGCAUUAUCCUCUGAAAGGCGAGCCAAACCAGAAAGAACUGUAAAGGCCAAGCAGACUUUGCGGCGUGUUGAAAGAGAAAGAAUCUUAAACGGCCUGAAACUCGGACCAAAGAAAUCUAGGAUUGAGGCAGUGCCAUCCAGUAUCCCUGAUCUAGUGGAACAAAGUAAAUAUGAGAUCGGAAACCCAGCUCCUUUGCCUCAUGAGCAGAACAGUCUUAUGUUUAGUGUGCUGCCGGAGUCGUUCAACUUCAAAGACGUCAUGGACCCUCCGACACAGACAGGUUCAAUGAAUGACAUGGCUGGUCCGGUUGCUGCGAAGGCUGAGAGUCCUCAGACGAUAGUCCAAAAAUCCCAAGGUGUAUGGUCUGUUGGCAUUCAGAAGAGAUAUUGUCCUCUCACCUCUUUGACCACUAAAGUUCCCAAGUCUUCCUCCACCACCUUCCAGAAGUUUCAGAAGAAAUUCAAGCAGAAGAAGUAGGCCUGGCAGCUAACCCACGACAAAUUGUAUUGUCUCCAGUUAUGGACUGGGGGAGUGGAGUGAGGACUGUCGCAUGACAAUCUGAUUCUUGUAACUUGUUUCCCAUGGAAAUAUAUGUACAAUUUUUGUUUUUAAUGACAAAUAUUCAUAACCAAUGUAUAUUCUUUGGGAAUGCAGAAAUUGACCUCAUUGUGGCAAGGUUGGGCAGCUCAUAAUACAGUUAUUAUUUACUGUAGUUAUUGUUUACAUUCUUAAGUGACUGAGAAUUUAUCUGACAGUGUCCUCUCUACCUCAGGCCUGACAGGUGUUGGUUCCACUUUUCUUGGCUCCAUUAUUUACUUAACAAAUAAGGAACACUCAAUGUGCACUUAUAAAUUAGAACAAUUUUCAUCAAAAUACAGCUGUAGACCGAAGUCAAAGAUCAAACAUCACACAUACAACUGAUGUCUCUCCUGUGUUCUGCUAAAUAGGAAAAGUCCAAGUUGCUUUUAAUAUGCUUGCAGUCAACCCCUAGUGAUGUAAAUGCCUACGUCAUUACCCUCUACUCAUGAGACCAAGCCCAUGCAUACACAGCUUUACACAUAAUGUUGAGUUCCAGUGUUUUCUAAAGGCUCAGCAGUACAUGUCCACUCCCCAAGUUGAUUUAUGGUGGUAUGUCUGACUAGUCUCUUAUCUCUUUCACUCCCCUGCAGGGUUCUGUGUCUAUGAAUCUCUUUUAUCUUUGAGGCGCUUUCUCAGACACCCUGUUUUGACUGCAAUAACUCACACAGCUCUCAGACCGUUUCUUAUAAGAAGCAGACUAUAAAAUAACUGUGGAACAAUAUUACACCUUAUAAUGCAUAUAUAUAUUGUUCAUUUGUAGUCUAGGACCCUAUAAAUGUAAGGGGGGACAGGUCUUAUAACCCUUCCCCUUCUAUUAAUACAACAUAAGCAUAACCAAUUAUUAUAAUACAUCAAACAUUUGGUGCAGCCCCUAUCAUGACCCCAUCACAGGCAACAUUGCGAAACUUCAUCUAAUUUAAAAAACCCUAAAGUUUUUUGUGUGUCAUUGGAUUGCUGUAUUUUAAUGUUUAUUUUCUUGUCAGUGUUGUCUGACAUUUUUGGGGGGUAAACAGUAUUUUAUGCAAACCUCAUGUUUACUGUAUCACAGAAUGUGAACUAUGCCAAAUUCACUGCGGUUUGUAUGAAUUUGUAAGUUAUCAUUCUGCCCACCUCUCUACCGUUCCCUUUUACAAUCUUAUAACAAGUGGGUACCUUACCAAUAGAUAUUUUUCUGGAGUUUAAACCGAUUCCGUUUGUUUACACGGGAUGAACAGUAUUGUAUGAUUUAGAGAUACUAAGCCAGCUGAAACAAGGUUCCAUUGCAGUAUUCUGGAUGCAUAUACCAGGAAACCUGUAUGUUUGUAGUAACCACUGACCUGGUGCAUUUACAUUAUAUUUUCAUAUGUUUGUUCGACCUAGUGUUAUUUCUUUAUGUUGGUGUAUGUUAUUUGUUUCUAAAUAUUUUUGUACACUUAAAAAUAUAUUGUCAGCAGCAUCCUUCACUUGGCUCUUGUUGAUUUUAUAGGGGACUAAAGUAAGACAGGCAGGGUACAUUCUUACCAGACGUGUCUGGUUAGGUGUGAAUGCUAACCCUUUUUAUGGUUAAAAGAAGGCUAUAUAGACCAUAUAAAGUGUAGUAUUGGGAUGCAAACUCAAAAUGUAAUACAUUUCUAAUCUGAAAUUCUAAAUAUCUGACAUGGUACAGGUGUAUUUUUUUAUUUUUUUUAAAGCCCAUAACCAUGUGUGUGAGGUUUGUACUUUUGUUUCAAAGUUAAUCAUCUUUAAACACCAGUCUCAACGUCAACAGUGAAGAGGCGACUCCAGGAUACUGGCCUAGGCAGAGUUGCAAAGAAAAAGCCAUAUCUCAGACUGGCCAAUAAAAAUAAAAGAUUCAGAUGGGCAAAAGAACAGACACUGGACAGAGGAACUCUGCCUAGAAGGCCAGCAUCCCGGAGUCGCCUCUUCACUGUUGACGUUGAGACUGGUGUUUUGCGGGUACUAUUUAAUGAAGCUGCCAGUUGAUGACUUGAGACGUCUGUUUCUCAAACUAGACACUCUAAUGUACUUGUCCUCUUACUCAGUUGUGCACCGGGGCCUCCACUCCUCUUUCCAUUCUGGUUAGAGCCAGUUUGCGCUGUUCUGUGAAGGGAGUAUUACACAGCGUUGUACGAGAUUUUCAGUUUCUUGGCAAUUUCUCGCAUGGACUGGUGCUGAUCUCAAAGAUAUUGAACACAUGGAAAGAUUUUUUUUUUUUUUUUACUAAGACACAUGAAAUGUACUGUAUCCAAAGUAACCAUGUGAUUUAAUAUUGCAUGUAUACUAUGUCAGAGGAGUUGGAAGAUAAUGGUGGCGGAAAGACUAAGAGGAGUAAUUGCAUUAACAUAGGGGAUGUACCCAUAUGCUGUAUGUGCAUAAAAGAAGAGCCGAUGCUCAGGGAAGUUGUUCCAUGGACCAGCUCGGCUUUGCUACUCUGUAUUAAAGUCUGUAUUAAAUUCACAAGUUCUUGCAAGAGUAUUAUAUUCUUAAGACAAUUUUCCACAACAAUGCUCACACGACACCCGAACAUUCCUUUGUUUAUGCUCCAACUGUACCAUGGUAAUGAAUUUGUCCGGAGUCGGGAAUAGACAGACUGGCUGAGAAACGCUGCCUGUCUAAAUCAUCAAUCGGCUGCUUUAAUUUUUAUGGAUAUAUACAAAGAAAUGUCGAAAAAAGGUGAAACGAAGUACCAAGGUAAAAACAGUUAAGUUGGAUAUUCAACGGAUAUUCGUGCUUUCAAACCUCAAUAGCUUUCGAGCCACAGACUCCAAAUAAGUGUCAAGAUGUUGGAAAAAUUGCACAGGUCUUAUUUUCACGAUUUGGUCAUUAAUUUGCUUUCCAAAGCUAAUAAACGUGGAAAUGUGAGCAGCAUUUUGUAUUACUAGUUGAAUUAGUAAUGGAGUGUAAACAAAGUACAAACUUUUUACAUUUGAAUUUCAAUUGCUCAUGUGACCUACAUGACACAAGGUUCAGAAUGUCCACUGACUACCCUUCUAUAUUGCACAACCUUUGAUUUGUUCAUUUUCAUCUCACAGGUUUUUACAUUCAUUUUUCAAAAUUUCUCAUUUCAAUAGCUCCUUGGUCAUGUGACCUACUGGCUUCAAAUAAGGUUCAGAAUGUCCAGUCAGUGGGCCUACACAUUUCAUACCCUUUAGUUUGUCCGUUUUUCAUCUCUCGCGUUUUUACAUGAAUUUUUCAAACUUAAAAAUGUCAAUAGCUCCUUGGUCAUGUGACCUACUGGACUCAAAUAAGGUUCAGAAUGUCCACUCAGUUGGCCUUCACAUUGCACAUCCUUUAGUUUGUCAAUUUUCAUCUCACACGUUUUUACAUACAUUUUUCUAACUUUCAAUAGCUCCUUGGUCAACCAUAAAUGAAAAUGGCAAAGUACGAGAGUCAUGUUAUUAAUUGUCCAAAGUGUUACGAACCUGCUCAAAGUUCGCAACAAAAGGGAGACAACGUGGAGACAAGGAGUAUCAAAAAUAUAUAUUUAUUAGAUACCACAACUAGCACAACCAAAAACAACAAGGUGUCUGCGUGGAGAGAGUCUCCCCAAUGACUGUGGAAGAGGUGCCUUUAUCCUGGGACACACCCGGAUCCAGGUGUUUCCCAUGUAGCUGACGACCCUUCCAACUCCGCCCACCGGCAUCCUAAUAAGGAAACAAGAACAAAGAGAGAGAAUACGGCAGACAGAGUGGGAGGGUCAUCACAAAAGCAGGGAUGGAGAGUGAGCUAGUGAGGUAGGCUGCAAUGGGUUUGCUGGUCAAUACAUAUACUGAACAUUUAACCACAGUAAUGAUGGCCAGAAAAAUCUAUGAAUAAAAAUGUAAUAUUGACAUAUUAAACAGAAAUUGUAGACCUUUAAUAUUUUCCAACAUGUCAACACUUUACUUCAAAUAAGUACAACAUAUUUCACAGUGUUAACUUUCUCUUUAUCCCUGGUUGAUGUACAUUUCAGAGCCUCUUGUGGAUGGGGUAUAGCAUACAUUUUCAACAACAAAGACAGAUCUUCCAGUUUGUGUUCUUCACUCUGAACUCGUCUUCAUUCCUAGUUACAGCACAUGGAACCACCGUUGGCAUGCAAAAUAAAGCAUAACAUGUUAUAAAUAUCAAAUAUCAAUGCAGUAUGACAAAUUAGCCAUCCAUUGUGUUAUAUUAUACAUUGUCUUACAUGCUGUCACUGUUGUCAAAAGAUUAUAAAC
rnacentral:lncRNA from 1 species